AUUGAACGCUGGCGGCAGGCCUAACACAUGCAAGUCGAGCGGUAGAGAGAAGCUUGCUUCUCUUGAGAGCGGCGGACGGGUGAGUAAUGCCUAGGAAUCUGCCUGAUAGUGGGGGAUAACGUCCGGAAACGGACGCUAAUACCGCAUACGUCCUACGGGAGAAAGUGGGGGCUCUUCGGACCUCACGCUAUCAGAUGAGCCUAGGUCGGAUUAGCUAGUUGGUGGGGUAAAGGCUAACCAAGGCGACGAUCCGUAACGGGUGUGAGAGGAUGAUCAGUCACACUGGAACUGAGACACGUUCCAGACUCCUACGGGAGGCAGCAGUGGGGAAUAUUGGACAAUGGGCGAAAGCCUGAUCCAGCCAUGCCGCGUGUGUGAAGAAGGUCUUCGGAUUGUAAAGCACUUUAAGUUGGGAGGAAGGGUCGUUACCUAAUACGUGGCGAUUUUGACGUUACCGACAGAAUAAGCACCGGCUAACUCUGUGCCAGCAGCCGCGGUAACAC
rnacentral:rRNA from 1 species